UAGGGAAUCUUCCACAAUGGACGCAAGUCUGAUGGAGCAACGCCGCGUGAGUGAAGAAGGGUUUCGGCUCGUAAAGCUCUGUUGUUAAAGAAGAACGUGGGUAAGUGUAACUGUUUACCCAGUGACGGUAUUUAACCAGAAAGCCACGGCUAACUACGUGCCAC
rnacentral:rRNA from 1 species